rnacentral:rRNA from 1 species
CCCUUAGAUGUUCUGGGCCGCACGCGCGCUACACUGUUCGACGCAGCGAGUCUUAACCUUGACCGAAAGGUUUGGGUAAUCUUCAGCAAAGUCGAACGUGAUGGGGAUCGAUCAUUGCAAUUAUUGAUCGUGAACGAGGAAUUCCUAGUAAGUGCAAGUCAUCAGCUUGCGCUGAUUACGUCCCUGCCCUUUGUACACACCGCCCGUCGCUACUACCGAUUGAAUGGUUUAGUGAGAUCUCUGGAUUGACGCUGGUUAGGGGGCGACCCUUGGCCAGACUGUUGAGAAACUGCUCAAACUUGAUCAUUUAGAGGAAGUAAAAGUCGUAACA